rnacentral:rRNA from 1 species
GAUGAACGCUGGCGGCGUGCCUAAUACAUGCAAGUCGAGCGAACAGAUGAGGAGCUUGCUCCUCUGACGUUAGCGGCGGACGGGUGAGUAACACGUGGAUAACCUACCUAUAAGACUGGGAUAACUUCGGGAAACCGGAGCUAAUACCGGAUAAUAUAUUGAACCGCAUGGUUCAAUAGUGAAAGACGGUUUUGCUGUCACUUAUAGAUGGAUCCGCGCCGCAUUAGCUAGUUGGUAAGGUAACGGCUUACCAAGGCAACGAUGCGUAGCCGACCUGAGAGGGUGAUCGGCCACACUGGAACUGAGACACGGUCCAGACUCCUACGGGAGGCAGCAGUAGGGAAUCUUCCGCAAUGGGCGAAAGCCUGACGGAGCAACGCCGCGUGAGUGAUGAAGGUCUUCGGAUCGUAAAACUCUGUUAUUAGGGAAGAACAAAUGUGUAAGUAACUAUGCACGUCUUGACGGUACCUAAGCAGAAAGCCACGGCUAACUACGG